UACGGAGGGAGCUAGCGUUGUUCGGAAUUACUGGGCGUAAAGCGCACGUAGGCGGCUUUGUAAGUUAGAGGUGAAAGCCUGGGGCUCAACCCCAGAAUUGCCUUUAAGACUGCAUCGCUUGAAUCCAGGAGAGGUGAGUGGAAUUCCGAGUGUAGAGGUGAAAUUCGUAGAUAUUCGGAAGAACACCAGUGGCGAAGGCGGCGCACUGGACUGGUAUUGACGCUGAGGUUGGCGAAA
rnacentral:rRNA from 1 species